CUACGGGUGGCAGCAGUGGGGAAUAUUGGACAAUGGGGGAAACCCUGAUCCAGCAAUGCCGCGUGUGUGAAGAAGGCCUUAGGGUUGUAAAGCACUUUCAGUAGUGAGGAAAAGUUUAAGGCUAAUACCCUUGAACCCUGACGUUAACUACAGAAGAAGCACCGGCUAACUUCGUGCCAGCAGCCGCGGUAAUACGAAGGGUGCAAGCGUUAAUCGGAUUUUCUGGGCGUAAAGCGCGCGUAGGCGGUUUGAUAAGUCGGAUGUGAAAGCCCCGGGCUCAACCUGGGAAUUGCAUUCGAUACUGUCAGGCUAGAGUAUGGUAGAGGGAAGUGGAAUUCCACAUGUAGCGGUGAAAUGCGUAGAUAUGUGGAGGAACACCAGUGGCGAAGGCGACUUCCUGGCCCAAUACUGACGCUGAGGUGCGAAAGCGUGGGGAGCAAACAGGAUUAGAUACCCGCGUAGUC
rnacentral:rRNA from 1 species